SAGUCGAACGCCSUAGCAAUASGGAGUGGCAGACGGGUGAGUAACGCGUGGGAACRUACCCUUCGGUYYGGAAUAACYCAGGGAAACUUGGGCUAAUACCGGAUACGUSCGMGAGSAGAAAGAUUUAUCGCCGAAGGAUYGGCCCGCGUCYGAUUAGCUWGUUGGUGAGGUAAWRGCUCACCAAGGCGACGAUCRGUAGCUGGUCUGAGAGGAUGAUCAGCCACAYUGGGACUGAGACACGGCCCARACUCCUACGGGAGGCAGCAGUGGGGAAUAUUGGACAAUGGGCGMAAGCCUGAUCCAGCCAUGCCGCGUGAGUGAUGAAGGCCCUAGGGUUGUAAAGCUCUUUYRCCMGGGAMGAUAAUGACGGUACCKGGAKAAKAAGCCCCGGCUAACUUCGUGCCAGCAGCCGCGGUAAUACGAAGGGGGCUAGCGUUGUUCGGAAUCACUGGGCGUAAAGCGCACGUAGGCGGAUCUUUAAGUCAGGGGUGAAAUCCCGRGGCUCAACCUCGGAACUGCCUUUGAUACUGGRGRUCUCGAGUCCGGGAGAGGUGAGUGGAACUGCGAGUGUAGAGGUGAAAUUCGUAGAUAUUCGCAAGAACACCAGUGGCGAAGGCGGCUCACUGGCCCGGUACUGACGCUGAGGUGCGAAAGCGU
rnacentral:rRNA from 1 species